AACGAACGCUGGCGGCAUGCCUAACACAUGCAAGUCGAACGAGACCUUCGUGUCUAUUGUCGCACGGGUUCGUAACGCCUUGGAUCCUUCCCUUAGUUUCGGUAUAACUCCCCUUAUUGUCUCCUAAUACCGGUUAUUCUCUUCUGACCAAAGUUUUAUCGCCUUUGGAUGGUCCCGCGUUGGAUUCGCUAGUUGGUAGGGUAAAAGCCUACCAAGGCUACGAUCCAUAGCUGGUCUGAGAGGAUGAUCAGCCACACUGGGACUGAGACACGGCCCAGACUAGUACGGGAGGCAGGAGUGGGGAAUAUUGGAAAAUGGGGGAAAGGCUGAUCAAGCAAUGACGCGUGAGUGAUGAAGGCGUUAGGGAUGUAAAGCUCUUUUAGAAGGGAAGAUAAUGACAGUACCGGGAGAAUAAGCACCGGCUAACUACGUG
rnacentral:rRNA from 1 species